rnacentral:rRNA from 1 species
CCUACGGGUGGCAGCAGUGGGGGACAUUGCACAAUGGGGGGAACCCUGAUGCAGCGACGCCGCGUGGGUGAAGGAGCGUUUCGGCGCGUAAAGCCCUAUCGGCAGGGAAGAAGAUGACGGUACCUGACCAAGAAGCCCCGGCUAACUAAGUGCCAGCAGCCGCGGUCAUACGUAGGGGGCAAGCGUUAUCCGGAUUUACUGGGUGUAAAGGGGGCGCAGACGGCAAUGCAAGCCAGGAGUGAAAGCCCGGGGCCCAACCCCGGGACUGCUCUUGAAACUGCAUGGUUGGAGUGCAGGAGGGGCAGGCGGAAUGCGUAGUGUAGCGGUGAAAUGCGUAGAUAUUAGGAGGAACACCGGUGGCGAAGGCGGCCUGCUGGACUGUGACUGACGUUGAGGCACGAAGGCGUGGGGAGCAAACAGGAUUAGAUACCCGGGUAGUC